UGGUCUAAUGGGCAUAAAGUAUUGCUG
rnacentral:piRNA from 1 species